GAUGAACGCUGGCGGCGUGCCUAAUACAUGCAAGUCGAGCGAAUGGAUUAAGAGCUUGCUCUUAUGAAGUUAGCGGCGGACGGGUGAGUAACACGUGGGUAACCUGCCCAUAAGACUGGGAUAACUCCGGGAAACCGGGGCUAAUACCGGAUAACAUUUUGAACCGCAUGGUUCGAAAUUGAAAGGCGGCUUCGGCUGUCACUUAUGGAUGGACCCGCGUCGCAUUAGCUAGUUGGUGAGGUAACGGCUCACCAAGGCAACGAUGCGUAGCCGACCUGAGAGGGUGAUCGGCCACACUGGGACUGAGACACGGCCAAGACGCCUACGGGAGGUAGCAGUAGGGAAUCGUCCGCAAUGGACGAAAGUCUGACGGAGCAACGCCGCGUGAGUGAUGAAGGCUUUCGGGUCGUAAAACUCUGUUGUUAGGGAAGAACAAGUGCUAGUUGAAUAAGCUGGAACCUUGACGGUACCUGACCAGAAAGCCACGGCUAACUACGUGCCAGCCGCCGCCGUAA
rnacentral:rRNA from 1 species